rnacentral:rRNA from 1 species
GCAGCCGCGGUAAUACGUAGGGGGCAAGCGUUGUCCGGAAUGAUUGGGCGUAAAGGGCGCGUAGGCGGCCUGUUAAGUCUGGAGUGAAAGUCCUGCUUUUAAGGUGGGAACUGCUUUGGAUACUGAUGGGCUUGAGUGCAGGAGAGGUAAGCGGAAUUCCCGGUGUAGCGGUGAAAUGCGUAGAGAUCGGGAGGAACACCAGUGGCGAAGGCGGCUUACUGGACUGUAACUGACGCUGAGGCGCGAAAGUGUGGGGAGCAAACAGGAUUAGAUACCCC